UGGGGAAUAUUGCGCAAUGGGCGAAAGCCUGACGCAGCCACGCCGCGUGAGUGAUGAAGGCCUUCGGGUCGUAAAACUCUGUCGGGAGGGACGAAGGGGCAACCCUGACGGUACCUCGCAAGAAAGCACCGGCUAACUCUGUGCCAGCAGCCGCGGUAAUACAGAGGGUGCAAGCGUUGCUCGGAUUUAUUGGGCGUAAAGCGCACGCAGACGGUUUGGAAGGUCGGAUGUGAAAGCCCUGGGCUCAACCCAGGAACUGCAUUCGAAACCACCAUCCUCGAGUUCGGGAGAGGGAGGCGGAAUUCCUGGUGUAGAGGUGAAAUUCGUAGAUAUCAGGAGGAACACCAGCGGCGAAGGCGGCUUCCUGGCCCGAUACUGACGUUCAGGUGCGAAAGCGUGGGUAGCAAACAGG
rnacentral:rRNA from 1 species